rnacentral:RNase_P_RNA from 1 species
CCGGCUUGUCGCUGCUCGAAAGAGGAGAGGAAAGUCCGGGCAACACAGGGCAUCCUGCUUCCUAACGGGAAGUGGUCCGCAAGGGUCAGCCAGUGCAGAAGAAAACAACUGCCCGCAAGGGUGAGGGUGAGAAGGCGGGGUAAGAGCCCACCAGGCCGGCAGCGAUGUCGGUGCUGUGCACUCCGGGAGUUGAAAGUUCAUGUAAACCGGCGAAGCUUGGUUCGGCGCAAGUCGGCCAAGAGAGAGGGCGGCCCGUCCGAGCCGGAGGGUAGAACGAUAGAGGGUAGCGGUGACGCUGCCAGUAGAUAAAUGACAAGCAUUCCCUUCGGGGAAUUACAGAACCCGGCUUACAGGUUCACU